AGCAGCCGCGGUAAUUCCAGCUCCAAUAGCGUAUAUUAAAGUUGUUGCAGUUAAAAAGCUCGUAGUUGAAUUUCGGAAUCUGUCCGUUGGUCGGGCUUCAUUGUCCGUACUGGUGUGAUGGGUUCUUACCUUCUGAAUAACCAGCAUGCCAUUCAUUUGGUGCGUUGGGGAAGCAGGACUAUUACCUUGAAAAAAUUAGAGUGCUCAAAGCAGGCUAGCGCCUGAAUACAUUAGCAUGGAAUAAUAAAAUAGGACGGCAUGGUUCUAUUUUGUUGGUUUCUAGGAUCACCGUAAUGAUUAAUAGGGAUAGUUGGGGGCAUUAGUAUUCAAUUGUCAGAGGUGAAAUUCUUGGAUUUAUUGAAGACUAACUUCUGCGAAAGCAUUUGCCAAGGAUGUUUUCAUUAAUCAAGAACGAAAGUUAGGGGAUCGAAGACGAUCAGAUACCGUCGUAGUCUUAACCAUAAACUAUGCCGACUAGGGAUCGGACGAUGUUAAUUUUUUAAUNACNCG
rnacentral:rRNA from 1 species